GUGUUUCCGCCCUGUGAAUUUCCCUUUUUUAUUGCUUUUGGGCUCGAGGUAUUUAUUUAUAAUUAUUUAACGUGUACGCUCGUGAGCAUUGAAGAUAGCGGGUUAUUUUUUCUAAAUAGUUUGUCUUCUAAACAAUGGCUUGUGAACUUUGAUUGCUUCGCGUUGCGUUCUCGGCAUUGAGGAGACAGUGACCAGCUGAUUGGACUGAUUGCAAACAAUCAUCUGACUUGGCUGUGAUUUCAGUGGUUUGCGGUGCACUCACUUCUGCUGUGAAAUGUUUGUUUGUUGUGUCUUGUAAUUGGGGUGCGGUGACGACUUGCAGGUGCCAUAGAUAGGACAAUGCCAAAGCGAUUCCAUUACAAACUCAAAUACAGGUUUGUAGGCUCAAUGUGCUACUGAUGGGGGUAGGUGUGGCUACUUUCUUUUAUACAUACAUGGGUUCUCAGUGUUUAACACAAUGUUAUGAGGAGGGGCAAGACACUGGCAGCCAACCACGUGAGUUAAUUUUUUGACCGACAGCGGUUUCCAACAAUCAGAGGUUGAGUUGUGCGCAGCUAAGUUUGUGCAGUCAGGUUAUAAACAAAAUUUAGAACUCAUGUAUAGGGAUCUAGAGAGAAGACCAGAUGUGACCAGACAGAAAAGAGACAGCACGGCGGAGAGGUCACAGCAGAGCAGGUGGAACAGAACGGAGGGCACGCCAUUGGAUUGUGGUUUCCACACAGGGUACGCAACGCUCUCAAUCCUGCAUCUGGGUCGUGGCUAAGCCACACCCACGCAACGUAAGUACGCUUUUGAAAUACUUAGCGUACUAAAUAUUCUGCUGGCUGUGAAGGCUCUUCCCACUGCUGAGACCCUUUCUCUUUCUUUCCCCAUUGGAGGCAUCGGCCAGUGCCAGUGAAGUAAGGAGCAGAAACCGACUGCUGGAAGGGACGGUAACCUGGGCUUGUUGUGCUAAGCUCACUGCUUCUGCUGCUGACCCCUUGCUGCUUCUGCUGCUUACUCGCUUGCUGACUCUACUGAUGCUGUCGUUUGCUGCUCUAUUUAGUUGCUUUGCACAAACUGGGGUUUUAAUUUGGACUUGAUUGGACUUCCAUUUUAGCAUUGGACAUUUAGGUGCAUCUAACAUGGAAGGUUCCCGCUUCAAUAAUGAACUGUUACAAGUUAAAUUGUAACUUGAACUUUUUUGUCAGCUCGCGACUCUUCAGCACACCUGCAACUUUGUCUGGUCACGGACAAACACAAAGAAAAGAAAGAAACCAAGGUGACAUGUGUUGUGUGAGAUGUAGCAGUGGGAGCGUACCUAUGUUCCCCGAGUCCUAUGUUCCCCAGGUCCUAUGUUCCCCUGUCUUUGUAUAAAACAGGGUUCUAUGUUCCCCACAUUCUAUGUUUCCGAGUUUUCAAAUUGUGCCCUUCCCAAAACCAUCCCUAAACCUAACAUGUCAAUAAUGCAAUGUUUCUGAGUUGUAAAUGUGUGCCCUGACCAAAACUAUCCCUAAACCUAACCUGCCAGAGGUGCAACAACAACCUGCGCUUUACCAUGCGGCCACAGUCUACUUGGAAGCAGCGGGGAACAUAGAACCCUUUUUUGAAAAAAGGGUCCUAAGCUCCCCGGUUGGGGGGAACAUAGGACCCGGGGAACAUAGGGAUGACCCCGUAGCGGUGAGCAAGACUAAUACCUUCUAAACAGUAGUGUUCUUUACCAAUACUAAAAGCUGUUUUUAUUCAUAUUUUGAUGCCAUGUACAAUUUACCCACUCUCUCCCCCUACCUCUACACGGCUACUUUCUCUGCAGCUGGAGCAGAAGUAGCAGAAGAUGUGUGUCUGGCUGUGGCAGUCCACCCAUCAGGUGAAGCAAGUAAGGAGGAGUCUACAUGGGAAUCCCAAAUGCUGCCAGGCUCAACGGAGGAGGAGGAGGAGGAGG